CAAUAGCGUAUAUUAAAGUUGUUGCAGUUAAAAAGCUCGUAGUUGGAUUUCUGGUGGGAGCGAUCGGUCUGGCGCUUAGCGCGAGUACUUGCAUCGUCUCCGGCCAUCCUUGGGGAGAGUCUGUCUGGCAUUAGGUUGUCGGGCAGAGGAUCCUCAUCGUUUACUGUGAAAAAAUUAGAGUGUUCAAAGCAGGCUUAUGCCGUUGAAUAUAUUAGCAUGGAAUAAUAAGAUAGGACUUUGGUACUAUUUUGUUGGUUUGCGCACCAAAGUAAUGAUUAAUAGGGACAGUUGGGGGUAUUCGUAUUCCAUUGUCAGAGGUGAAGUUCUUGGAUUUUUGGACGACGAACUACUGCGAAAGCAUUUACCAAGGAUGUUUUCAUUAA
rnacentral:rRNA from 1 species